UGUGCAAAUCUAUGCAAA
rnacentral:ncRNA from 2 species